CAACAGUUCCACCUAUACCAUAGUCAAUACAUACCUACCAAACGUAAACCAGGGGACAUACUUCAGUAACCUACUAAAACUCACAACUCAACUGCAAACAGGUACCACGAUCAUCUGUGGGGACUACAAUCAGUUCCAAGACCCCACACUAGACUCCUCAGCAAAACACACAACCAGUAGGGCAAAAACACUGCACAGACAGUGCAAAGCCUUAAC